AAGCUGGUCAGAUUUUAAAUAAAGUUCUAAAUCUUCACAUUGUUUUCUUUUUUCGUGAAUGCUACAUUUUGUGUGUUUUAGACACACAGUAACCCAUGGGGGAACGUGUCCACAUUUAAUGCUCCCCCUGUUAUUAUAUGUUGUUUGAUUUUGCAAUGAUUAUUUACUUUCAAUAAUUUUCAAGUAUAAAAGAAAAAAGACUUUAUGUGGAAGGGGGGAGAAAUGAGAAACCGCUCGUGUUUGCUUUCCUCUGCAUCAGGGAACAAAAAGAAGAGUUUCCCACCAGCCGAAAUCAGUUUGCUGAUUACUUGGAACCAUCUGGUUAUGAGAAGAGGAAGAGAUUCAAAGUGAAAGAAAUAGCACAUUUAUAUCACCACCCUGGGCCAUUGUCUUCGGCCAUUUGCACUUAAGAUGCUUACAUGAGCAGGCAGUGUCUGUCUUUCCAAACCACUGCUGUGCAACGAUUAUCCUCGACAACCUGCUCCGUCUUCACUGGAACAUAACUGACAUAUAAUCUUGAGGAAAUAAGAUACCUCUGCAGGCUUCUGGAACCACAGUAGGGGCACGGAGUGUCCCUUGUCACGUUGCACAAAGUCAGUACUGUGUUUCAGCUAGUAGCACAGGCUGCAGGGGCAGGGGACCUCCAUCCAGAUCCGGGAUCUCUUUAUCUCUGAAAACUUCUAGAAACUACUUAACAACCCUGCACCUUCUUUCACUCAUUGAUGAGAUGAAGAUCGUGAUGUGCUCACUUCGCAACACCGUUGUGAGGACCCGCACUGAUGUGCGCAGAGUGCUUUGAAGAGUCCUGCUGGUGUCUGUGCAUCUGUCUCUGCUGGGAAGGUUUGCUGCAUGUCCAACCUGACCGCACGCCUCCGGAGCUCCUGUUAGCUGAAGACGGCAGUCGGGGGGCGCGGCAGUCACCACAUGCUCUGCCGAAUGCUUUGGCCUGAGGAGGAAUAGAAAUGCACAAGAGAAAAUGAAACACUCCAGCGGCAACUGUCCCGAUCUGGAUCAGAAAUGCAAAGUCGACCUUCAGAGCUUGAACUGAUUGCAGAUGGGAAGACCCUUUGCUGUUCAUCAGCUCAUACCAGCGUCUACGCAAUUAGAUUCCAAAGUGUUCUGUCUUGGACGGGCUUCUGAGAGGGACCGGAGGAGGAAUAAAAGAAACAGAAUGAGUUGUUUUUCUUUUUGCAGUGAAUGUUUCGUCACAUGCACGGCACACUUAGAGACACUGAGUUUUAAGGAAUGUACAUUUGAAAAUAUCAAAACUAGACACUUUCACUCUGGUUUGGUUUCUUGAAUACAGCAGCCUGACUAGCAAAUCUCCUUCCUUAAGGUAAAAAUGUGUGCUUUUUUGACAACAAUGUUGAUUUUUCUGUUGACUUACAUUGUUCUCGUGAUGAGUGCAGACCAAGUGUAUAAGCUACAAAUCUUCACACCGUGCAUUUGCCUCGCUCUGAUGGCAGAAAGUCAUCUGAGCAUUUCUUUUUAAUGUGCGCACACUUCAAGUUCUUCUGAACUGUCACUUGCCAGCAUCUCUCUGAUUUUGUAAAACAAGCCUAGGUUUGGGUUUUAGGAGCUCCCCACUCUUUUCUCCAAGCAGCGCUGUCGCAGUCCUUUUUGAAGUGCGGUCCCUGGACGCGCUGCCUCAGCUUCAACGGGAACCUAUUCUAAAUGCAGGUUCUCAGCCCCCAACUCCCCCGCCCUGGACUGGCUGGAUCAGAAGCUCUGGGGAGGCCUCCGUGGCCAGCGUGUUAACAAGCUCUGCAGGGAUUCUGACCCACACUCAGCUUUGAGAAGCCCCGCUCUGCUUGUCACUGCUUUGGACGCGUUUCACCGCUUCCGCAAUAAUGGUGAAGCUUGUGGAUCUUCUUGUCAGAAUAUUUUUAAA